rnacentral:rRNA from 1 species
UGAGGAAUAUUGGUCAAUGGGCUUACGCCUGAACCAGCCAAGUCGCGUGAGGGAAGACUGCCCUAUGGGUUGUAAACCUCUUUUGUCAGGGAGCAAUUGGCGCUACGUGUAGCGUUAUCGAGAGUACCUGAAAGAAAAAGCAUCGGCUAACUCCGUGCC